CCUAGACAAGGCAUCCGCCUUGCCAUUUCUGGAACCAGGGCGGUAUGAAAUAAAAAAAUUAAACCUUGAGAAAAAUAGGGACCAGCGUGCUUGUCUGGCUGACAGUCUUUUAGCGGAUUGGAUACAUUACAGAUUUUUGUGAUCUGUGAGGACAGUAAUUGGAUGGGUGGCUCCCUCCAAGAGAUGUCUCCAUUCGGUGAAGGCAGCUUUUAUAGCCAAAAGUUCUUUAUUCCCUAUGUCAUAAUUUCUUUCUGCUGGUAACAUCUGGCGGGAAUAGAAGGCACAUGGAUGUAAC